UGGGGAAUUUUGGACAAUGGGCGAAAGCCUGAUCCAGCAAUGCCGCGUGUGUGAAGAAGGCCUUCGGGUUGUAAAGCACUUUUGUCCGGAAAGAAAUGGCUCUGGUUAAUACCUGGGGUCGAUGACGGUACCGGAAGAAUAAGGACCGGCUAACUACGUGCCAGCAGCCGCGGUAAUACGUAGGGUCCAAGCGUUAAUCGGAAUUACUGGGCGUAAAGCGUGCGCAGGCGGUUGUGCAAGACCGAUGUGAAAUCCCCGAGCUUAACUUGGGAAUUGCAUUGGUGACUGCACGGCUAGAGUGUGUCAGAGGGGGGUAGAAUUCCACGUGUAGCAGUGAAAUGCGUAGAGAUGUGGAGGAAUACCGAUGGCGAAGGCAGCCCCCUGGGAUAACACUGACGCUCAUGCACGAAAGCGUGGGGAGCAAACAGGAUUAGAUACCCUGGUAGUCCACGCCCUAAACGAUGUCAACUGGGUUGUUGGGGAUUCAUUUCCUUAGUAACGUAGCUAACGCGUGAAGUUGACCGCCUGGGGAGUACGGUCGCAAGAUUAAAAGCUC
rnacentral:rRNA from 1 species